rnacentral:misc_RNA from 1 species
UAAGUAACAAUCAUUGAAAUGGUGGCAACCCAUAUCUCAAAAUGUAAUGGAAACCUGUACGUGAGAGAAACAAUUAUAAGGAUGGAGGUGGACAGCGCCAAUGUGUUGGAUAUCAGGAAAACAUAAUAAGCGUGUGGCUGAGAGGCAUAAAUUGCCCUUCCUGCGUGAUGGCCACCAUCAUUGUCCUGCCAGACGCCUCCUGGCGGGUUCACGCCAGCUUGGAAGGUCACUGCAGCAAUUAGCGCCGCUAUCACGAGCAAAAAA